AACGAACGCUGGCGGCAGGCUUAACACAUGCAAGUCGAGCGCCCCGCAAGGGGAGCGGCAGACGGGUGAGUAACGCGUGGGAAUCUACCCAUCUCUACGGAAUAACGCAUGGAAACGUGUGCUAAUACCGUAUACGUCCUUCGGGAGAAAGAUUUAUCGGAGAUGGAUGAGCCCGCGUUGGAUUAGCUAGUUGGUGGGGUAAAGGCCUACCAAGGCGACGAUCCAUAGCUGGUCUGAGAGGAUGAUCAGCCACACUGGGACUGAGACACGGCCCAGACUCCUACGGGAGGCAGCAGUGGGGAAUAUUGGACAAUGGGCGCAAGCCUGAUCCAGCAUACCGCGUGAGUGAUGAAGGCCCUAGGGUUGUAAAGCUCUUUCACCGGUGAAGAUAAUGACGGUAACCGGAGAAGAAGCCCCGGCUAACUUCGUGCCAGCCGCCGCCGCCGUAA
rnacentral:rRNA from 1 species